rnacentral:rRNA from 1 species
CCAGCAACUUGGAGGAAUGUAUAGCGAAAGCUAGUUGUAUUAACUAACUGUUAGUGCAGCAACGACUGUGUCGUGUAAAGUUCAGGGUAGAGUUAUGAUAAUGACAUUUCCUAUCUGUGUGUCUCGACCAAACUACGUGCCAGCAGUCGCGGUAAUACGUUGGAGACUAGUGUUAGUCGUCUUUAGAAGGUUUAUAGGGUACCUAGACGGUUGUUACAGCCCCAGAGGGUACUGUUUAUACUUGAGUUUAAUGAGAGGGGGGGUGUACUAAUGGAGUAGAGAUGAAAUUCUGUCAUACCAUUAUUAACAGGCAACAGCGAAGGCAACCCUCUAUGUAAAAACUGACGUUGAGGGACGAAGGCUCGGUUCGCCAAUAGGAUUAGAUACCCUAGCAGUCCGAGCAGACAAUGAUGAGUGCCAUAGACUGGUAAGAUUUAUAUUAAUAAACAAUUAUUAGAAUAAACUAUUAUAAGAGUUAACAAUUCUAAGGACAAACAAUUGUUAGUAUAAAUAAUUUUGUCUAUAAAUGAAAGUGUAAGCAUUCCACCUCAAGAGUAAUGCGGCAACGCAGAAACUGAAAUCAUUAGACCGUUUCUGAAACCAGUAGUGAAGUAUGUUGUUUAAUUUGAUGCUCCGCGGAAAACCUUACCACAAUUUGUAUGUUUAGAAAUAAAUACAAGAGUUGCACGGCUGUCUUCAGUUAAUGUCGUGAGAUUUUGGUUAGUUCCAUUUAAUUAACGUAAACCCUUACUUUAUUUUAAUAGUAAAUAGAGUAGUUCACCGCUAUAUUGGAUAUGAUAAUAGGGACUAAGACAAGUC